UAGGGAAUCUUCCACAAUGGACGAAAGUCUGAUGGAGCAACGCCGCGUGAGUGAAGAAGGGUUUCGGCUCGUAAAACACUGUUGUAAGAGAAGAAUGACAUUGAGAGUAACUGUUCAAUGUGUGACGGUAUCUUACCAGAAAGGAACGGCUAAAUACGUGCCAN
rnacentral:rRNA from 1 species